CUCCAGUUGGAUGCAUGUCCUUCUGGGAAAGAUUCAUCGGUAUGGGAUGGGGUCGCGUCCUAUCAGCUUGAUGGCGGGGUAACGGCCCACCAUGGCUUCGACGGGUAGCCGGCCUGAGAGGGCGACCGGCCACAUUGGGACUGAGAUACGGCCCAGACUCCUACGGGAGGCAGCAGUGGGGAAUAUUGCACAAUGGGCGCAAGCCUGAUGCAGCGACGCCGCGUGCGGGAUGACGGCCUUCGGGUUGUAAACCGCUUUUGACUGGGAGCAAGCCCUUCGGGGUGAGUGUACCUUUCGAAUAAGCACCGGCUAACUACGUGCCAGCAGCCGCGGUAAUACGUAGGGUGCAAGCGUUAUCCGGAAUUAUUGGGCGUAAAGGGCUCGUAGGCGGUUCGUCGCGUCCGGUGUGAAAGUCCAUCGCUUAA
rnacentral:rRNA from 1 species